CAGCCAGUGACCCAAUCAUUGUGUCUGACGCUUAAUCAAAGUGCGGGGGUCUCUCAAAAGGAGGAGGAAAAUGAAAAAAGGGGAAUCUCUGCUUUAAUUAAAUGGAAAUGGACCCGUUAGCGAUGAUGGAGUUUCAGGUGGUUGGGUUCCCAAAGUGAAUGCAGUUUGACUUACUGGCGACCAGUAAUCCAUGGCAGUAAGUAGCCCCCAGAUCUGAUGGGAUUUUCAAAUGCAAAUUGUAUGCAAUCGCACAAGUAGCAGCAGCAGCAGCAGCAAAGAUGCAUAAUUUUACCAAAAUGAGAACUAAUGAGAGAAGAAGAGACGGAGAUGAAAAGCUGGCAAAGGAAGAGCCCUGGGAGGUUGACCAACUGCAGUUGCAUUUCCCUUCCAGUUCUCAUAAACAGGGGCGCGCCUCAUGCCAUUCCUGCCUCACUUCCGAGUGCAACGUCAUCGCCUCAAGGAUCCUUUCCCUCUAAUAAGAGUGCGAGUGUGUGUGAAUGGCGUGUGCUUCUGUAUGGGUGUGCGUGCUCCACCUUCUAUGACGCCUAUUAUGGGUGUACUCUCUUCACAAGGUGAACCAUUGAAAGGUGCCUCAAGGAGCCGGAGGAGGAUGUGGCGUGGGCUAAUGCCAAAUCCCGCCGUUCAUGCCACACUCGUGGCUCCUAAUACUGCUGGAGCUGCAACAAAAACUCCUUUCAAUUUGUGGGUGCAAAAGUUUUCGGGGCUUUCGGAAUCAAAGCCAAGCCAAGCGGUCUGAAUGAGAUUUGAGCUGGCAAAGGAUUAUGCUGAAAAGCGAUUUUAUUACCGACAAGGAUAUCUAUUCAGGGAGCAGCUCUGUUGGUCAUUUGGCCAGCAAUUCGUUCGGGCUCUCUGUUGAUUUUGCUCCUUCGACCCACUGAGGCCUUUCUUCCUGCCUCUUUGUUGGCCCGUGAAGGAUGUCUGACCGUCUAAGGUGGAAUUCAAUUCAAUUCAAUUAGAUACCCCACAAAGAUGAUGGGAAAAACAUUUGAAGAUUAUUUAUAUGAAUAUUCAAAUGGCAUUCCUUCGCUUUGAUGAGGGCCAUCCGACCAUAAAUCAUUGUGGCAAACAUUCACUCAAAUAUUUUCCAGCAUCUGCAACAUAUUUUCGAAAAUUAUGCAAAAGUAAACUG